rnacentral:lncRNA from 1 species
AAUCCUACUAGCCCACCAUGAAGCCUUAUGGCAGCGUGAAGGAGCUUUUUUUGCUGCUAUUUUACAAGAACAGAAGACAUGCCUCUGAGAUGUUACAGUAGUACUAACAAUGAACGUUCAACCUCAGGUCCAAAUUCCCUACUGAUGCAAGAGCGGCUCUGCUGAAAUCAUCAGAACUCCACCCCCUUAUCUCACCAGUGACAGAGCUUGCCCGAUUCUGCACCUGCCCAAUGGGAACGCUAAUUGCAAGGUCAGCACAUCCAGAUCCGUUCUGCAGCCUACCGUGUUUAAAAUCUGGACAGCCCAUGCUGGGGUGCAUUCCUGGCUGAAGACCAAAUGCGAGAGGCAGUGAAACCUUGUGAAACAGAAGUCCUCCCUCAUGGAUCCGCAUGAGCCCGAGCACCUCGGUUUUCUGCUCGCGUUGCGCGCCGCUGAGCCACCUCUGCUCUCACCUUCCCCGCGGGCCACAUCUCCCAGUCGCUCCUGUGGAUUACGGGAGUGCCGCGGCCCGGAAGCGGAAGGAAAGGCAGCGUUGUCACACGGGGCAGGAUGGCGGAGCGCCGCGCCGCGCGGGAUGCAGGGAGCGGUAGUCCCCGGGCAACGCGAGUGUCCGUCGGCCAUGUUGUGCGGCGGCAGGGGAUGUGCUCUUUGA